CUUUCACCAUAUCAUUGCUUCUUCUUCGUAGCUAAAUCAGAAGCAACCAAAAAUUGCAGCUAGCACCAUUGCUGAAAUAAUCGAGUUAUGGAUGCGAGACCAUUGCGCUCUGGACCUGCUGAUCCGUCUAUGCUAGAAUUUAAACCAAGGCAUCGAUGCACAUAUAUUUGGGACGAUCCAAACUAUAAUGCCAAACUUAGUGGAUUUAGAUAUGACAGUAAAAUGUAUACUGAUGAAGAACCUCGAGAGCCCCGAAUGAUUGCAUAUUUAAAGGGUUUUUGAAAAGAAGGUGACUUGACAAGAAAAUGAUGUUUUGAGCCAAACAUUGGGUUAUUUGAUCAAGAUUUCAAGUCAUCAUAGCAUGGGG